AUUGAACGCUGGCGGCAGGCCUAACACAUGCAAGUCGAGCGGAUGAAGGGAGCUUGCUCCUGGAUUCAGCGGCGGACGGGUGAGUAAUGCCUAGGAAUCUGCCUGGUAGUGGGGGAUAACGUCCGGAAACGGGCGCUGAUACCGCAUACGUCCUGAGGGAGAAAGUGGGGGAUCUUCGGACCUCACGCUAUCAGAUGAGCCUAGGUCGGAUUAGCUAGUUGGUGGGGUAAAGGCCUACCAAGGCGACGAUCCGUAACUGGUCUGAGAGGAUGAUCAGUCACACUGGAACUGAGACACGGUCCAGACUCCUACGGGAGGCAGCAGUGGGGAAUAUUGGACAAAGGGCGAAAGCCUGAUCCAGCCAUGCCGCGUGUGUGAAGAAGGUCUUCGGAUUGUAAAGCACUUUAAGUUGGGAGGAAGGGCAGUAAGUUAAUACCUUGCUGUUUUGACGUUACCAACAGAAUAAGCACCGGCUAACUUCGUG
rnacentral:rRNA from 1 species